rnacentral:lncRNA from 1 species
GUCAGAGUUUUAGUGAUCGUAACACCAGGGGCGUUACAUCCUUCCCCCCUAAAAAGGAAUCUCGUCCCGAGAUUUAAACUCCAAGCCAAGUAAUGGAAAAGGAAGCGCAUCAAUGGUUUAUGUCCCCAUUACUCUUAAAAGACAAGAGGCAUACCUCUGUUGGUUUACAUUAAGAACAAAACACACCAGACCUAGGUUUACAAGACACUAGAAACUCAGGAACAUGCUUUUCUAGAUUCUCCUCCAAUUCUCAUGUGGCUUGAUCUUCCGUGUGUUUUGGUUCCACCGUAUCUUGCAAAACUCGAUAACUUUCUUCGAGUGGCCCGAUCCUUUUGAUCCAAAACCUUUAUGGAAUGUUCCGAGUAGGUUAAAUCCAAUUGAAGAUUGACAUUUGAAAUCUCAAGAACAUGUUCGGGGACUCGAAGAAACCUCUUCAACUGAUACACGUGGAAUAUGUUGGGCACUGUUGAAAGAUUCUCUGGCAGCUGCACCGUAUAAGCCAGAGGUCCACCAAAAUCUCUGUUCCAAAUCUUGGUUCAUCUUACUACUUCUAGGGUAAUUGGAGUUCCGAACUUCAACUCGAUCGCAAAUUCCACGACCCUUUCCGGAGGUAAACCAAGCAAAUUCUUGGGGAACACCUCUGGAAACUUCUUAACAUCGGGUAUAUUCUUUACUUCUUUCACUUAAACUCUUGAUGUAGACAAACCUUAUUAUCUCCCAGAACAGCUUGACUAACCACCUUAUUGUAACCUUAUGUCGAACUGGUUGUCAUCAGGAGUUGAAGCUUCACAUUAAAACCAUGUAGGAAGUAUCACCUUUUCCUCUCACUAGUAUCCACAAAAUCCAAACCAUACUGGGAUAGGUGUGUAAACCUCUCAAAAUACUCCAUUAUACUCUCUUUUUUUGCAUAGCUUCUGACCUAAAACUCAUUGAACUUUAUUUAUAUAGGGGCUUUCGAAAUAUCAUGUGCCCGAAAUACCCCACGGAACUCAACCCGAGAACUUAACGUCCUUCUGGCUGCAGCGCAAGGUAUUCUACCUGCCAACUAAACUUGGCUUUGAGUCUUCAAAAACAG